UACGUAGGGGGCAAGCGUUGUUCGGAAUUACUGGGCGUAAAGGGCGCGUAGGCGGCACGACAAGUCGGGAGUGAAAGCCCGGGGCUCAACCCCGGAAUGUCUCUCGAAACUGUCGAGCUAGAGUGCGGAAGAGGCAACUGGAAUUCCCAGUGUAGCGGUGAAAUGCGUAGAUAUUGGGAAGAACACCUGAGGCGAAGGCGGGUUGCUGGGCCGACACUGACGCUGAUGCGCGAAAGCCAGGGGAGCGAACGGG
rnacentral:rRNA from 1 species